rnacentral:tRNA from 1 species
GGAGAGAUGGCAGAGUGGUUGAAUGUGGCGGUCUCGAAAACCGUUGUCCAGCGUAAGUUGGACCCUGGGUUCGAAUCCCAGUCUCUCCG